rnacentral:rRNA from 1 species
UCGGGAAUUUUGGGCAAUGGGCGAAAGCCUGACCCAGCAACGCCGCGUGAAGGAUGAAGUAUUUCGGUAUGUAAACUUCGAAAGAAUAGGAAGAAUAAAUGACGGUACUAUUUGUAAGGUCCGGCUAACUACGUGCCAGCAGCCGCGGUAAUACGUAGGGACCAAGCGUUGUUCGGAUUUACUGGGCGUAAAGGGCGCGUAGGCGGCAAUUCAAGUCAUCUGUGAAAUCUCCGGGCUUAACUCGGAACGGUCAGAUGAUACUGCUUUGCUAGAGUGCAGAAGGGGCAAUCGGAAUUCUUGGUGUAGCGGUGAAAUGCGUAGAUAUCAAGAGGAACACCUGAGGUGAAGACGGGUUGCUGGGCUAACACUGACGCUCAUGCACGAAAGCGUGGGGAUCAAACAGGAUUAGAUACCCGUGUAGUCCCUGAGCGGGCUGGCAAGGCGCAU